AUUGAACGCUGGCGGCAGGCCUAACACAUGCAAGUCGAACGAGUGGCGGACGGGUGAGUAAUGUCUGGGAAACUGCCCGAUGGCGGGGGAUAACUACUGGACACGGUAGCUAAUACCGCAUACCCUCGGAUGUGCCCAGAUGGGAUUAGCUAGUAGGUGGGGUAACGGCUCACCUAGGCGACGAUCCCUAGCUGGUCUGAGAGGAUGACCAGCCACACUGGAACUGAGACACGGUCCAGACUCCUACGGGAGGCAGCAGUGGGGAAUAUUGCGCAAUGGGCGCAAGCCUGAUGCAGCCAUGCCGCGUGUAUGAAGAAGGCCUUCGGGUUGUAAAGUACUGUCAGUAGGGAGGCGUUACCCACAGAGGAAGCACCGGCUAACUCCGUGCCAGCAGCCGCGGUAAUUC
rnacentral:rRNA from 1 species